rnacentral:snoRNA from 1 species
AAACCAUGAAGAGGACAACACCAAAGAAAUUCUUUGUUUCUUUCCCAAGCUUAGUACAACGAUUUAGAAUCUUGUUGCAUGAAUGAUGUAAUAUCAUUCCUCAUUUU